UCCCUCUUAGCUCAGUUGGUAGAGCGCGUCACUAGUACGACUAAGCGGUCAAGUGAUGACGAGGUCAGUCGUUCAAAUCGGCUAGCGGGAA